rnacentral:lncRNA from 1 species
AAGCUCAGUGAAAAGAGACAGAAAUGCAGUGCAUCAGCAUUAGGAACAAUAAACAUAAAUCAGAAGUAGUUCCAUUGCUGCCACCUGGCUUCACUCCACAACUCCAGGGCUGGGAAACAUCAGAAGCGAUUUCUCCAGGGACCCAUUCCAGAACUCAAAUUAGCAAUGAACCAUAA